rnacentral:rRNA from 1 species
UACGUAGGGGCCGAGCGUUGUCCGGAUUCAUUGGGCGUAAAGAGCUCGUAGGCGGCUUGGUAAGUCGGAUGUGAAAUCCCCGUGCUCAACGCGGGGCGGCCAUCCGAUACUGCCAUGGCUAGAGUCCAGUAGGGGAGUGUGGAAUUCCCGGUGUAGCGGUGAAAUGCGCAGAGAUCGGGAGGAACACCAGCGGCGAAGGCGGCACUCUGGGCUGGUACUGACGCUGAGGAGCGAAAGCGUGGGGAGCGAACAGG